CCCUUAGAUGUUCUGGGCCGCACGCGCGCUACACUGAUGCAUUCAACGAGUUUUUCCUGGUCCGAGAGGAAUGGGUAACCUUUUGAAAGUGCAUCGUGCUAGGGAUAGACUAUUGCAAUUAUUGGUCUUCAACGAGGAAUUCCUAGUAGACGUAGUUCAUCAGACUGCAUCGAUUACGUCCCUGCCCUUUGUACACACCGCCCGUCGCUCCUACCGAUUGGAUGAUCCGGUGAGCUAUUCGGACUUUCGCAUCGUCGAUUUUCGGCUUUACGAUGGAAAGUCUCGCGAACCUUAUCAUCUAGAGGAAGGAGAAGUCGUAACA
rnacentral:rRNA from 1 species